rnacentral:rRNA from 1 species
CAGUCGACGAGUUCUCGUUGAUGAUCGGUGCUUGCACCGAGAUUCAACAUGGAACGAGUGGCGGACGGGUGAGUAACACGUGGGUAACCUGCCCUUAAGUGGGGGAUAACAUUUGGAAACAGAUGCUAAUACCGCAUAGAUCCAAGAACCGCAUGGUUCUUGGCUGAAAGAUGGCGUAAGCUAUCGCUUUUGGAUGGACCCGCGGCGUAUUAGCUAGUUGGUGAGGUAAUGGCUCACCAAGGCGAUGAUACGUAGCCGAACUGAGAGGUUGAUCGGCCACAUUGGGACUGAGACACGGCCCAAACUCCUACGGGAGGCAGCAGUAGGGAAUCUUCCACAAUGGACGCAAGUCUGAUGGAGCAACGCCGCGUGAGUGAAGAAGGCUUUCGGGUCGUAAAACUCUGUUGUUGGAGAAGAAUGGUCGGCAGAGUAACUGUUGUCGGCGUGACGGUAUCCAACCAGAAAGCCACGGCUAACUACGUGCCAGCAGCCGCGGUAAUACGUAGGUGGCAAGCGUUAUCCGGAUUUAUUGGGCGUAAAGCGAGCGCAGGCGGUUUUUUAAGUCUGAUGUGAAAGCCCUCGGCUUAACCGAGGAAGCGCAUCGGAAACUGGGAAACUUGAGUGCAGAAGAGGACAGUGGAACUCCAUGUGUAGCGGUGAAAUGCGUAGAUAUAUGGAAGAACACCAGUGGCGAAGGCGGCUGUCUGGUCUGU